rnacentral:lncRNA from 1 species
UCGGAGCUCCGCGCGGCCGCGCCCGAGCAAGCUUUUGCCGUUCGCCAGCUGCCCCAGCUACCACCGGAGUGGAUCCACUAGUACCCCUCUGUCUUCCUCCCCUCCGGCACGCGGGAGCGAAGGAGCGGCGAUGUCCGUCGUCUGACGCACCGAGGAAGGCGAUAGAAGGAAUGACCAAACAAGUAAAAAUGAUUCAGCCUUCUGGGAAGGAAAAAAGGCCCAUGGGGUCAGUCG